rnacentral:rRNA from 1 species
CCCUUUGAUACUCUGGGCGGCACGCGCGCUACACUGGUUUAUAUAACGUGUAAUUUGGGCGAUAGUCUGUAUAAAUCACUAAUAUAAAACCGUGAAUGGGAUAGUUUAUUGCAACUUACAAACUUUAACUAGGAAUCCCUUGUAGAAGUAGUGAAUUAUACUGCUUCGAAUACGUCCCUGCCGAUUGUACACACCGCCCGUCGUUUCUUCCGACUGGUACUCAUUGUGAAUUGCGAGGAGAUUCUGUCAAAUCGUUGUAAAUGCUGGGUAUUGGAGGAAGAAAAAGUCGUAACA